UCUAGCAGGAUAAAGACAUCUCUCUGUGUGAUAUAUAACCUUCCCCCAAGGUCAGGCUCACUCGUCUAACCCCUUAAUUGUAGGGCUAUAAGAAAAGGAAAAUGCUUGGGAAUCCUGCUGAACAUAGGUGGUUUGAAUUGGGACUGCCAUCUGUAGUAGCUCAGAUAGUCUUAAUCUCUCCUAGACUGACACUUGGAUAUGAGUCCUUUCAUCUAGAUCCCAGCACCCAUUCCAGUUGCAGAGAGAGAGUGCACCUUCUGAGAGCUUCUGAUCUGUAACUUCGGGACAGUGGUAGAAUGUAACCUACAAAUUUCAUACACGGUAGAAUUUUUGUUCAACUUCUGAUGACCAAGGAAACAGAUUGGAGCCAGCUGAUGAAUCCCACUGUGUUCUGACUGAUCAGCCUUAUUCAUGUUGGCUUCUCCUUACAGCUCCAAGUCCCUUCAUGUUUCUGCGUGUCUGUGGCAGCGGAGGUCGAUUGGCCAUGACUGCAGCCAAGCCGAGGCUCCCCGAUGGCGACCCAGAAGCACGUCAGGCACAUUGGGGAUGCUGGCCCCAGGUCCAGCCCAGCUAAUAAGGACCCACUGGGCCUGUCGGGCUGGGUGGAAUGUGGCAGCACAGCCUAAAACUGGCCCAGACCCAAAGUGCCUCGGGAUUGGAAGUGGCUGCGGCAGCACCGUGACAACUGCAUGUUGGAGGGGAACCACAGCAGCAAGCGACUCUCACCAUUGCCAGCUCAGAGGAGCUGGAGCACUUACCAGGAAGCAGGGACUGGGCCUUGGCAGUGGCAGUGGCAAUGACUGGAGGUGGGCCAGGAUGACCUGCAGACACAACAGCAUAGCUGUCACAGUAAUGGCUGUGGUGGCAUCCCUACUGGCUUAGACUAUAGGCUUUCCUUUGUUUGUAACAACCCUGGCCAUGUGUGACAGCUAAUGGCAGUACACCAGAACCUACAGUCUUCCAGAGCAGGGGGCAACCAAAGAACAAGGGGUCUGCAGUCAUCUCUACGUCCCAGGAUUACAGCUAAAACAGCUCCUUGGAACAAGAGGCAGCACUGGCUAAAAUACUGUUUAAAUUCAUAACCAGCACAAAGUGGAGUUCACAGGACACUGAAGAUUGUUUCCCACAACCUGAAACAGGCUGUCAACAGUACGUCUAAAUAUGCAUCACCAUGGUAAAAUACAGAAUUAAGAGUUAUAAAUUUGUUCUUAAUCAAAGGGCAUUUUCAUCAAGCUACAGAAAAAAACGCAAGGCCCGAGAAGCAAACUUUGGUGGCAGGAGAGACAUGUAUUCAAUCCCAAUCUGAACUAGACUUCCCUGUAUCUUAUAUGGGCUCUGCCCUUCUUAUUUUGGGAUUGGCUAUGGCUUGCAUCACUAAUCUUCACAUUUCACACAAUUAAAAAUCCAUUACAAUGCUGAACUGUCACCACAACCACAGAUGGCAUUGCAUAUUUUGCACUUACAUAAACUAUGUACCUAGCUGCACCUGUUUGGCAAGCUAUGCCUACCAUUUUCUGGAUGGAAACAUGCCCCAGUCUUGCUUGCUUUGUCUGAGGUGUGGCAACUUUCAUUUGACGGGGAAAAAGAAGAAUGCAGCACUUUCUAGGAAGUUUAUUGUGCAAACAAAAGCUAGUGACUGGAAACAAUUAAAAUAUGAUUCUUGCCACUGCCAGAUCUCUUUGCUGCUAAGG